ACAGUGAGAGCAUGCUGCAUUCCUGCACCCAGAGACCAGCCAGCUGCCAGAGGGACUUUCCUGCCAACCUGUACCAUUGACCAGCCUGUGGAAGAGGGACCAUCUUACCAGCCUGUUGCAGAGGAACCAGCCAGAUGAAGAUUCACCUCCAGAAGCAGCGGUAGCACAAGAAUGCUUCUGGGGAAUCCUGGAUAUGGGAAGAAAGCCUUUGCAAAUAGGAUGUAGGAGAACUACUGUAUCUCCGAUCAUUAAUCAGCUUCGGAAUGCCCUGUCAUUUGGAAAAUGUGGGCAAAGAGAAUACCAAUGCGACGCCACCCUAAAUCAAGUUAACCAACCUUCUGGCACAACAUUAUGACCCUUAAAUGCCCCUUUUGCUGAACAGCAUGAACGGAAAGACCGCCUCCCCAUGCUGGAACUCCGGAUUGCCCAGGAAUGUCAGAAACAAGGAUUUGUGCCCACCUAAAUUCCUAGCAUGUCUAAGAAUAUGCCACAGAUGAUAUACCGUCCACAGAAGAGGGUUAUCUCUCAAGUCUUGGUCGAAUUCCGCUUCCACCCCGUGAAGGAAAGAUAUCAGGUUUCUGGACCCUACAAAUUGUGCCUCCAGCUGUGUAUUAGCAUAAGUAUCACUAUUAUGUAACCAGUCUCUUAAAAAUCUCAAUAAAGAAGCGAAGCAUGGUUAUAAAUCUGGAUGUUUGGAAAAUGUAUUCCCCCGUUAGCUUUAGGCUGUUGUAAUUUAUGCAUAGCAAUAC